GACGAACGCUGGCGGCGUGCUUAACACAUGCAAGUCGAACGGUGAAGGGACCAGCUUGCUGGUUCUGGAUGAGUGGCGAACGGGUGAGUAACACGUGAGUAACCUGCCCCCUUCUUCUGGAUAACCGCAUGAAAGUGUGGCUAAUACGGGAUAUUCUGGGUCUGUCGCAUGGCGGGCCCGGGAAAGAUAUUGCUUCGGUGGGGGAUGGGCUCGCGGCCUAUCAGCUUGUUGGUGGGGUGAUGGCCUACCAAGGCGGUGACGGGUAGCCGGCCUGAGAGGGUGGACGGUCACACUGGGACUGUGACACGGCCCAGACUCCUACGGGAGGCAGCAGUGGGGAAUAUUGCACAAUGGGCGCAAGCCUGAUGCAGCGACGCCGCGUGAGGGAUGGAGGCCUUCGGGUUGUAAACCUCUUUCGCCAGUGAAGCAGGCCUGCUCCUUGUGGGUGGGUUGACGGUAGCUGGAUAAGAAGCGCCGGCUAACUACGUG
rnacentral:rRNA from 1 species